UACGGAAGGCAGCAGUGGGGAAUAUUGCACAAUGGGCGCAAGCCUGAUGCAGCCAUGCCGCGUGUAUGAAGAAGGCCUUCGGGUUGUAAAGUACUUUUCAGCGGGGAGGAAGGCGGUGGAGUUAAUAGCUUCACCGAUUGACGUUACCCGCAGAAGAAGCACCGGCUAACUCCGUGCCAGCAGCCGCGGUAAUACGGAGGGUGCAAGCGUUAAUCGGAAUUACUGGGCGUAAAGCGCACGCAGGCGGUCUGUCAAGUCGGAUGUGAAAUCCCCGGGCUUAACCUGGGAACUGCAUUCGAAACUGGCAGGCUAGAGUCUUGUAGAGGGGGUAGAAUUCCAGGUGUAGCGGUGAAAUGCGUAGAGAUCUGGAGGAAUACCGGUGGCGAAGGCGGCCCCUGGGACAAAGCUGACGCUCAGGUGCGAAAGCGUGGGGAGCAAACAGGAUUAGAUACC
rnacentral:rRNA from 1 species